UAACUGUUCGUAAUCGUUCGUACGGUUUUCCUAUCACCGUGUCUCACGUGCACGAUCAGACGGCGCACGACCGUAAGCUUCGACGAGUUUCUUCGCAUCUAUUGAGGUCUAAAGUCCGUUCGAAAUACCCUAGGAAUGUCUACACUCCGAUAAGCAGAAAGGAGAAUACAUUCUUACGAGUCGUGAGCCGAUAAAACUGAGCGAGAAACGCAGGAGGAUGCAUAUUUCCUUGAAAUACCAGAUUCCUUAAAAGGAUCUUCCAAAGGAAUGAUAGCCAAAAGGCCAAGAAACGUCCUAAAGGCGUUUCUUCUUCCUAAGACGACGGAUAACCGAAGGGGAAUAUUUUUUCAAAGGGACAAACCACUCGCCUCUGAGGUACUAACGAAUUAUCUUCUUCAAACGAAGGAACCACCAUGGACCUCGUACUUUGUCAAAUACGCCGACGUUGUCAACGAUCAGAGGGGCAUGUCCCACUUCAAUUGGUCAGUAGCUAAUAGCAAUUAUCACGUAUUAAGGACAGGCUGUUUUCCUUACAUCAAGUAUCACUGUACAAGACGACCAAGGCAGGACCUUAGUACCGACGACAAAUUCUUCAAGGCGAUCAAGAUACUUAACCUUGGUAUCCCUACUCUGAUGUACGGAUUAGCUGCAACGUUUCUGAUACGACAUCGAGAAAUCGUAAAAACACGUCGAGGUGACAUUACGAUUUAUUUUUUACUACCUGAGGACAAAGGCUCUCUCUAUUGACCGACUUUAUCUGGUUAGAUACGUUUGCUUAUAAAAUUAUUAAAAUAAUUUCCUCUUUAAAUCGAUUCGCAUUGAUAAUGAUUUUAUCAUCUUUAUAAACUUAAUGAAAAUAAAAUUCUUUUUCCAUUAACACUCGAACGAGAAUGUUCGAAUAAUAAUCCAAACGAUUGAAAUUCGCUAAAGCAAUUACCGAUCACGAUUCGAUCGGCUGGUUAGCAAGGUCCAUGCGUUAGGGACAAGUUACAAGACGUUGAGGGUGUGCCAAUAAUGUAAAUCCUAUUAAUACUGCCCGAGGUGAGUGCGUACGAGGAACGAAGUGCAAACUUACAAAGUUAUCAUUAACAUAGCUUUCUAAUUAGCUACUCGUGUUCGCCAUCGAACGACGGUGUCUAUCGUUAUCGUAAUAAAAGAGAUUUCUCAUUUCCGAACGUUGACAUUUCCAUGUGAAAGAUUAACGAGCGAACGCCUUCGAUAGUGAUGCACAAUAAUCUGUAUUAAUUAUAUACGACGUUAAGUAACGGAUGAUUGGCUUGUUUUACUUAUAAUGUAUGGAGAUAAGCAAAGGAAUAGACACGCUUAUGAAAGCGUGUGGGUCGUAUGAAUACUCUGGAAAAUAAACACCCACGCUUUUCGUAUGAACUCGGUAAUGGCUAGUACACGUUGCAAGAUUGAACGCCAUUUAUCGAAAAAUCUAGAAUGUCUGUUUUCUAUUCUUCCUUUUUUCUUGUUGUUUUUUUCUUUUUUUCCUUGUUUUCUUUCUUUCUUUUUUUUUUUUUUUUUUUCUUUUUUUUGCAAAUACGUCAUACGACGACUUCCUCGUCAGGAAAGAACAGAGAAAUAUUAAUUAACGUAUGGCUUUCGCUCGUCUGACAUCGAGUCCCUCGACGGGACAGAGACUUUCUCCGGACUUGUCGUCUCUUUCGUAAUGUCUUCUCAUUUUUUGGGAUAAGUAUCCUCCGACCUUUCGGAGAUAGUCAUCGGGAAGUUACUUUUACUCGAGUCUUGCAUGUCGGCAUUGCGUCGUUCGAUGUAUAAAAAAAAAAAAAAAGGAAAAAAGAAAUCACAGAAAAGGAAAGAAAAAAGUAUAUAAAUCAUUCGAUAGAAUUGAAGAACAACUUUGGCUCGAUUUUACAUUGAAAUCUUUCUCUCUGUGGAUAAUCGUGAGAAGUACUAAUUAAUAUUCCAACAUCGUGCCGUUGAAUACAUAGCGGUACACCUAUUGAAAUUCAAAUUCAUUUCGAAGCUAAUUAAACUCAUCGUGAUCUUAUUUGCGAGCAACUUUUUCCGGCGUUUAUUCGACAAAGAAAAAUAUCCUCUUGAGAUAACCAUGCUAAUCUCGAUCAUUGCCAUAAAAAAUGUCUAAGAGGGAAGCAUUUCGUUGGAACAUCGCGUGCACCAAACGUCGAUACUCGUGCACCUAACGUCUACGUGUCGAUAGAGAGAAAGAGAGGGAGAGAGAGAGAGAGAAAGGGUGCGAUAAAACGAGAAAAAGAGAUGGAGAGAAAGGACGAGCUGAGCAACGAAGCGCGUCACGCGCAAUUAAUUUCACACGAGCUCCACGAACGCUCCAUUUGCAUGUCCGAUUAGCCAUAGCGUUGAAUUAGAGAUUCUAUCUGACCGUGAUCAGGGCCUAUUACAACAUUAAAUACUUUGAUAGAUUUCGGAUUGUCGGAUUUUGCGUUUGAUCGUUCCUAGAAAAAAAAAAAAAAAAAAAAAAAAGAAAGAAAAGAAAAAAAAAAGAAAAAAGAAGAAAAAAAAAUUUAAGAAAAUGUAUAAAUCAGGAAACAUCAAAAUGUCCGACGUAAUAAUCCCUCGAAGAGAACGUUCUCGCUUUGUCGCGUCGUAUUUUAUCUCUCGUAGGAAUAGCCCGAAAACAUUCUGCUGACGAGGGAGCCAAGCAAAGCAAGCUGAUUUCCAGUUACCGUCUCUUAUCUUCCUGGCAUCGAAAGCGAGAAUAAUUAUUGUACCGUCGGACGCAAAAAUCAAUGGCCAAAGACUUGGAUGCACUCGAAUAAUUGCACUUUCCCCGAGAACCGCGCUUAUGAGACGGCAUUAUAUUCGAAUAAAAAUGGCCACCGGAAGUAGACGUCACCAGUGCCAACUGCCAGCCAACUAGGCUUGAUCGAGCUGCACUUUUAGCAAGAGGAAAAAAAGCAUUUUUCACUGUCUCCGACGUUCACCCUUUACACUUUUUCACAUUGGGUUGCAACACGUUCAAAAGUCAUCUAGCGUCAUACUACGUCGAUUAUGUACACAAAGAAUUGACUUGUUAUCUUCCUUUGUUGCAGUGUCAUUCAUUAUUUAAACCAUAGUAUAAUGCAGGCAAAACUACAUUGUUACACAUGCUGAAA